UACGGGGGGGGGCAAGCGUUGUUCGGAAUUACUGGGCGUAAAGGGCCAGUAGGCGGCCAACUAAGUCGGACGUGAAAUCCCCAGGCUCAACCUGGGAACUGCGUCCGAUACUGGAUGGCUUGAAUUCGGGAGAGGGAUGCAGAAUUCCAGGUGUAGCGGUGAAAUGCGUAGAUAUCUGGAGGAACACCGGUGGCGAAGGCGGGACUCUGGGCCGAUACUGACGCUGAGGAGCGAAAGCGUGGGGAGCAAACAGG
rnacentral:rRNA from 1 species